rnacentral:rRNA from 1 species
UACGAAGGGGGCUAGCGUUGUUCGGAAUUAUUGGGCGUAAAGGGCUCGUAGGCGGUUUGUUGCGUCGGGAGUGAAAACUCAGGGCUUAACCCUGAGCCUGCUUCCGAUACGGGCAGACUAGAGGUAUGCAGGGGGAGAACGGAAUUCCUGGUGUAGCGGUGAAAUGCGCAGAUAUCAGGAGGAACACCGGUGGCGAAGGCGGUUCUCUGGGCAUUACCUGACGUGAGGAGCGAAAGUGUGGGGAGCGAACAGG